CAGGCCUAACACAUGCAAGUCGAGCGGCAGCGACAACAUUGAACCUUCGGGGGAUUUGUUGGGCGGCGAGCGGCGGACGGGUGAGUAAUGCCUAGGAAAUUGCCCUGAUGUGGGGGAUAACCAUUGGAAACGAUGGCUAAUACCGCAUGAUGCCUACGGGCCAAAGAGGGGGACCUUCGGGCCUCUCGCGUCAGGAUAUGCCUAGGUGGGAUUAGCUAGUUGGUGAGGUAAGGGCUCACCAAGGCGACGAUCCCUAGCUGGUCUGAGAGGAUGAUCAGCCACACUGGAACUGAGACACGGUCCAGACUCCUACGGGAGGCAGCAGUGGGGAAUAUUGCACAAUGGGCGCAAGCCUGAUGCAGCCAUGCCGCGUGUAUGAAGAAGGCCUUCGGGUUGUAAAGUACUUUCAGUAGGGAGGAAGGUUCAUGCGUUAAUAGCGUAUGGAUUUGACGUUACCUACAGAAGAAGCACCGGCUAACUCCGUGCCAGCAGCCGCGGUAAUACGGAGGGUGCGAGCGUUAAUCGGA
rnacentral:rRNA from 1 species